AUGGCGUUUUGAGUGUUGUCAAAAAAAUUUGUGUUUCCAAAACCUAAUUCAAACUACAUAUGCAUAACUUACCAAGCAGUACACGAAAGCCCUACACUUCAACCUCAAAUCCACUGUAAUAAAAAUCAGAAAUUAAUACACCAUCAAAAUGAACUCAAAACUGAUUUUUAUUAUUCCAAUCGCCUUGAGUUUAAGCUUCUUGCCCGAAGUUGGCGGAGCACCUGUAGAAAACGAUCUUCCAGGUGAAAUAGCAGUGUCCAAUAACUCGAUUGCUAUACGAAAUUCCCCAAGCUGGGCAGCAACCUUGCUGGAAAUUCGGCAUCCAAUUUUGGGCCGUCUCCAUAAGAUUCCAAAAUAUUUAAGACGAAAUGGAAACGGAAUUGCGGGGUAAGAUUGUACCCAAAUUUCCGAAGUGGCCACUUUUCUUCAAGGUUACAGUGGAGCCAUCAAAAUUCUUUGAUACUGUCAAUUUAGAGAACCAUAUUGGGGAGGGUGAAGCACAUCAAAAUGUAGGAAGUUUGAAGUUAAUGCGCAUGCUGAUCGAACAUGUUUGGAGGGAUGCCAAGGCCCUUAUAAAGAAGGACAUGAAAGGAAAAGUCGAUGAGGUUUAGAUGAUUUCAAAUGAGUGGAAAUUGAUGAACAUUUUUUGAGAAAACAGUUUUAUUUCGAAUUCAGUUUUGGACGAUGGACAAGUCAAAGUAAGAAGAGAAAAAGAAGUAUCCAAACUAUUAAAUGAAAAUGAGAAUUUGUAGAGGAAGCCGGAAGAAACCAAUAAUAAACUUGAGGAUAUUGUCCAGAUUAAAUAAAAUAUUCCAAAAUAAAAGAGCUAUAAAAGAAGUUUGCACUUCCCAAAUAAUAAGCAACAAUAGAUAAGGUA